AAAUAAGUGGAGGGACGACUGAAGAAAAUUCAAGGGGGCGAGCAAAAGAAAAGAAACAGAAAAGAAACAGAGGAGGCCAAGAGAGGUUGCAGCUAAAAAUAGAGCAAGGGGGCUGAGGGCAACAACAGAGAGUGAUAGAAAGGGGGAGGCGGUUGAGCUUGGAAAAAACAAGAACUGGAGAGUAAAAUGGGGCGGCAAGAAAGGGCGAGAGGAAGUUUUUGAGUGGAAAAAAAGGGAAUAGGAGAAGAACAAGGAAAAAGGGGAACGGCGGCCAGAAAAGAAAAAGCCAUGGAAAGGGGACAGGGGGAAAAAGAGAGAGUGAAAGGCCGAGAAAGAGAGAGACCGAGGGGGCUUCGUCCAGGAAAAAACCAAAAAAACAGAGAGUCGGGGGUUUUGGGAAACAGAGUUGAGAGUGAAAGAGAGGGCAAGAAAAGAGAAGGGCAGAGGAAGAGAAGGAAAAGGAAAAAACCUGAAAAAUUGGUAAGGAGGGCGGCGGACAGACAGAGCUUGGGAACAAGAAAAGCAGAGAGAAAAAGAGGAAGGGGGCUUGGGGGCAAAAUGAGAAAAGCAAAGAGAAGGAAGAAGACCUACGGGGAGAGGAAAAAAAACCAAACCCUAAAUCCUAAAUGGAUCAAAAAAUUCCCAAUCUUCCUCAACUCGAUCCAUCCAAAUUCUCCCAAAAUAGUCUUUGAUCAUGAAUUCCUAAAUAAGCCCAGAAUUCUUGCCAUUAAUUUCCAUGUCACCGCCUGAACAUUCGCAGUCGGUCAUCGCCACGAUGACCAAUUACACCGUUCCAUCACUUCCACCACCGCACGCCCGGCCCCUAUCGCCAUCGUUUCCGAGCUCCUCGCCGCCUGGCACGCCACCGGCCUAGAGACCGCCCGCCACUGAGGCGCUGAUGCAGCUCAAUUUCUCCUUAUUGAAGGGGGGCGGCUGGAAAGCAAAAAGGGAAAUUGAAGGGGUUUCGGUGAACAGAAAUCAGGAAGAAAAGCCAGUGGGAAGGGGUUUUGUCUAAACAGAAACGGAAGGAAGAAAACGAAGUGAAGAAAACAAGGAAGCCAAAAACAGAGGAAACAGAAACUGGAAUCGCCUCCAUCACCUCGUCCGGAUCCGUCGUCAUUAUCGGCGAAAUUUCACCAAGCAGAGCACUGGAAAUAUGAUCACGGAAAACGACAAUAUUUUCCGACAGAAACAAGCAAUCCAAGCAUGGCCAGUUUGGAAUCACCUUGACCGUCAGACCAGGUGGAGCUCGUAACGAAGAGAAAUAUGUAGCAUUUGGUGGACCAACGUUAGUCACAAUUCUUUUGACUCUUUUUGCACCUUGGGAUCUGUCGAGUUCGCCAAUUGAUAUGGAAGGGUAAUUGACGUUGGAGAUAAGUUCUUUGGCAGAGUUUCCUUUCCUGGGCAGCUGAAAUUUCUAUUUGACAUUGAUCUUAUAGCUUUUUCUUUAUAGCCAUAGUAACAAAGGAACCGCAAAUAAGAGGUCUCAAAUACUAAACCAGGAUGAAGAGCUCCAAGAGGGCCGAUUUCCCCAACCCCCAUAUCAUGAGGAUUUCCAUUGUAAUUUGAAGUAUUUGUGAUUGGUUUUCCCAAGUUGUUAGAUGUAGUAGCGGCAAUAAGAAAAAUAAGUUAAAACUUUA